rnacentral:rRNA from 1 species
CAUAGGUUAAUGAGGCGAACCGGGGGAACUGAAACAUCUAAGUACCCCGAGGAAAAGAAAUCAACCGAGAUUCCCCCAGUAGCGGCGAGCGAACGGGGAGGAGCCCAGAGCCUGAAUCAGCAUGUGUGUUAGUGGAAGCGUCUGGAAAGGCGCGCGAUACAGGGUGACAGCCCCGUACACAAAAGCGCAUGUGCUGUGAGCUCGAUGAGUAGGGCGGGACACGUGGUAUCCUGUCUGAAUAUGGGGGGACCAUCCUCCAAGGCUAAAUACUCCUGACUGACCGAUAGUGAACCAGUACCGUGAGGGAAAGGCGAAAAGAACCCCGGCGAGGGGAGUGAAAAAGAACCUGAAACCGUGUACGUACAAGCAGUGGGAGCACCCUUUGGGGUGUGACUGCGUACCUUUUGUAUAAUGGGUCAGCGACUUAUAUUCUGUAGCAAGGUUAACCGAAUAGGGGAGCCGCAGGGAAACCGAGUCUUAACCGGGCGUUAAGUUGCAGGGUAUAGACCCGAAACCCGGUGAUCUAGCCAUGGGCAGGUUGAAGGUUGGGUAACACUAACUGGAGGACCGAACCGACUAAUGUUGAAAAAUUAGCGGAUGACCUGUGGCUGGGGGUGAAAGGCCAAUCAAACCGGGAGAUAGCUGGUUCUCCCCGAAAGCUAUUUAGGUAGCGCCUCGUGAA